rnacentral:rRNA from 1 species
GAAUUCAACUCCUACGGGAGGCAGCAGUAGGGAAUCUUCGGCAAUGGACGGAAGUCUGACCGAGCAACGCCGCGUGAGUGAAGAAGGUUUUCGGAUCGUAAAGCUCUGUUGUAAGAGAAGAACGAGUGUGAGAGUGGAAAGUUCACACUGUGACGGUAUCUUACCAGAAAGGGACGGCUAACUACGUGCCAGCAGCCGCGGUAAUACGUAGGUCCCGAGCGUUGUCCGGAUUUAUUGGGCGUAAAGCGAGCGCAGGCGGUUAGAUAAGUCUGAAGUUAAAGGCUGUGGCUUAACCAUAGUACGCUUUGGAAACUGUUUAACUUGAGUGCAAGAGGGGAGAGUGGAAUUCCAUGUGUAGCGGUGAAAUGCGUAGAUAUAUGGAGGAACACCGGUGGCGAAAGCGGCUCUCUGGCUUGUAACUGACGCUGAGGCUCGAAAGCGUGGGGAGCAAACAGGAUUAGAAACCCUAGUAGUCCAGGCGUU